rnacentral:rRNA from 1 species
CCCUUGGAUGUUCUGGGCCGCACGCGCGCUACAAUGGUCUUCGCAAACGGAUGCAUUCUCGAAGGAGAAUGCCAAUCUUGGAAUCUAUGCCUUGGUCGGGACAGUUGCUUGCAAUUUUUCGACUCGAACCAGGAAUUCCUUGUAAUCGUGAUUCAUCACAUCACGAUGAAUACGUCCCUGCCCUUUGUACACACCGCCCGUCGCUCCUACCGAUCGAAGAGUUAGGUGAAUUGUUUUGAUCGAUAAGAUUUGACUAUGGUCAACUCUCGUUGUGAAAUUCUGUGAAUCUGACUGUUUAGAGGAAGGAAAAGUCGUAACA